GGCCGCUUGGAGGAAUGGCAGACUCACGGCACUUAAAAUGCCAGGCCCGCAAGGGCGUGCGGGUUCAAGUCCCGCAGCGGCCACCA
rnacentral:tRNA from 1 species